rnacentral:tRNA from 1 species
GUUAAUAUAGCUUAAUAUUUAAAGCAAGACACUGAAAAUGUCUAGACGGGUAAUUAUCACCCAUAAACA